AGGGUCAACUGCACGUACCAUGAGACCUCUGCUUCUAGUAUUGGCGGUGCCCUUGUGUGGGCUGCUGGUGUCAGGUAAACCAAAUGGAAGCCCUCUAGAUCAGACGGAGUCAUUUAAAAGGCAAGACACUCAAGUUCCCACUGAAUUGAUCGGCCAGCCAAGUGGACCAAACAAAGCUGAAGAAGCACGUUGUCCACCGGAAACUGACUCGCCAGUAAGCGAUGGAAGAAGCGGCAAUUCUGAGACCAAGGAACAAGGCCAGAAGAAGGGUGAAAAUUUAGCGAGGCCAACACGCAACGUUGAGAACGGUAAUCGGGAGGGGCACCUUCCCUCUGAGGACAAAGUUGGACGUUUGAAAGUAAAUCAUACCUUGUUUGGUCCAUACCCUCCUCCCUACUAAGGGACUCCUGGGCCGCUAUGAGCAUUGUUAAUGAAUGUCGAAAGUCCCCAGUUUCCUGAAUUGGGCUUGCUUUCUAAAGUGUAGUCAAGGCGUGGUACGUUUUCCAGCGAUGCUACGCAGCUUCUUCGCUGUUCUUAUGAAAAUGAUUAAAAUAAUAAACUUUGUGCUGCUAUUACUGGUCCUCGAUAUAACCGCCAGGCAAUCUGCGAUAGUCUGUGCUGAAAAUAAAAAAAAAUAUUAGAACCGUGA